rnacentral:rRNA from 1 species
UACAUGUGGGGCAAGCGUUGUUCGGAAUUACUGGGCGUAAAGCGCGUGUAGGCGGUCCGGUAAGUCCGCUGUGAAAGUCGGGGGCUCAACCCUCGGAUGCCGGUGGAUACUGUCGGGCUUGAGUACGGAAGAGGCGAGUGGAAUUCCUGGUGUAGCGGUGAAAUGCGCAGAUAUCAGGAGGAACACCAAUUGCGAAGGCAGCUCGCUGGGACGUUACUGACGCUGAGACGCGAAAGCGUGGGGAGCAAACAGG